UACGUAGGGAGCAAGCGUUGUCCGGAAUCAUUGGGCGUAAAGCGCGCGUAGGUGGCCCGGUAAGUCCGCUCUGAAAGUCACAGGCUCAACCUGUGAAAGCGGGUGGAUACUGCCGGGCUAGAGUCCGGAAGAGGCGAGUGGAAUUCCUGGUGUAGCGGUGGAAUGCGCAGAUAUCAGGAGGAACACCAACGGCGAAGGCAGCUCGCUGGGACGGUACUGACACUGAGGCGCGAAAAGCGUGGGGGAGCGAACAGGG
rnacentral:rRNA from 1 species